GCAUUGGUGAUUCAGUGGUAGAAUUCUUGGCUUCCAUGCGAGAGACUCAGGUUUGAUUCCUGGCCAACGCA
rnacentral:tRNA from 1 species